UACGAAGGGGCUAGCGUUGUUCGGAAUUACUGGGCGUAAAGCGCGCGUAGGCGGACCUGCAAGUCGGGGGUGAAAGCCCGAGGCUCAACCUCGGAACUGCCUUCGAUACUGCGGGUCUCGAGUCCGGGAGAGGUGAGUGGAAUCCCUAGUGUAGAGGUGAAAUUCGUAGAUAUUAGGAAGAACACCAGUGGCGAAGGCGGCUCACUGGCCCGAUACUGACGCUGAGACACGAAAGCCAGGGAGCGAACGGG
rnacentral:rRNA from 1 species